UGGGGAAUAUUGCACAAUGGAGGGAACUCUGAUGCAGCGACGCCGCGUGAACGAAGAAGGCUUUCGAGUCGUAAAGUUCUUUUAUAUGGGAAGAUAAUGCCGGUACCAUAAGAAAAAGCCCCGGCUAACUACGUGCCAGCAGCCGCGGUAAUACGUAGGGGGCUAGCGUUGUCCGGAAUCACUGGGCGUAAAGGGUUCGCAGGCGGAAAUGCAAGUCAGGUGUAAAAGGCAGUAGCUUAACUACUGUAAGCAUUUGAAACUGCAUAUCUUGAGAAGAGUAGAGGUAAGUGGAAUUUUUAGUGUAGCGGUGAAAUGCGUAGAUAUUAAAAAGAAUACCGGUGGCGAAGGCGACUUACUGGGCUCAUUCUGACGCUGAGGAACGAAAGCGUGGGUAGCAAACAGG
rnacentral:rRNA from 1 species